CAGCCGCCGCGGGAAUACAGAGGGUGCAAGCGUUAAUCGGAUUUACUGGGCGUAAAGGGCGCGUAGGUGGUUAUUUAAGUGAGAUGUGAAAUCCCCGGGCUUAACCUGGGAACUGCAUCUUAUACUGGGUAACUGGAGUGCAGUAGAGGGUAGUGGAAUUUCCGGUGUAGCGGUGAAAUGCGUAGAUAUCGGAAGGAACACCAGUGGCGAAGGCGGCUACCUGGACUGAGACUGACACUGAGGCGCGAGAGCGUGGGGAGCAAACAGGAUUAGAUACCCCGGUAGUCCCUGUCUCUUAUAC
rnacentral:rRNA from 1 species